ACCAGCGGAGGGAUCAUUAGCGAGUUCAGCUCUCUAAAACCAUUGUGAAAGCACCCACAGCGUUGCUUCGGCGGGGUAACUCCCGCCGGCAGUACCAAACUCUGUAUUCAUUGUAUCUCUGAGUAAACUUUUAAUAAGUUAAAACUUUCAACAACGGAUCUCUUGGUUCUGGCAUCGAUGAAGAACGCAGCGAAAUGCGAUAAGUAAUGUGAAUUGCAGAAUUCAGUGAAUCAUCGAGUCUUUGAACGCACAUUGCGCCCGCCAGUACUCUGGCGGGCAUGCCUGUUCGAGCGUCAUUUCAACCAUCAAGCCCCAGGCUUGCGUUGGGGGCCUGCGGCUGCCGCAGCCCCUUAAAACCAGUGGCGGGCUCGCUGUCAUUCCGAGCGCAGUAGUUACAUCUCGCUCCGGGCGUGGCGGUGGGCACCUGCCGUGAAACACUCACUAAGGUUGACCUCGGAUCAGGUAGGAAUACCCGCUGAACUUAAGCAUAUCAAUAAGCGGAGGAA
rnacentral:rRNA from 1 species